rnacentral:rRNA from 1 species
GACGGAGGGUGCAAGCGUUGUUCGGCCUCACAGGGCGUAAAGCGCGUGUGGGCGGUUUGUUAAGUCGAAUGUGAAAGCCGAGGCUCAACCUCGGAAGUGCAUUCGAAACUGUCAGGCUUGAGUACGGGAGAGGGAAGUGGAAUUCCUGGUGUAGAGGUGAAAUUCGUAGAUAUCAGGAGGAACACCGGUGGCGAAGGCGGCUUCCUGGACCGAUACUGACGCUGAGACGCGAAAGUGUGGGUAGCAAACGGG